CGCGGAGUGGAGCAGUCUGGUAGCUCGUCGGGCUCAUAACCCGAAGGUCGUUGGUUCAAAUCCAGCCUCCGCAACCA
rnacentral:tRNA from 2 species